rnacentral:rRNA from 1 species
GACGUAGGGUGCGAGCGUUGUCCGGAUUUAUUGGGCGUAAAGAGCUCGUAGGCGGCUCGUCGCGUCGACCGUGAAAACCCGCGGCUUAACUGCGGGCUUGCGGUUGAUACGGGCAGACUAGAGGUAGGUAGGGGAGAAUGGAAUUCCCGGUGUAGCGGUGAAAUGCGCAGAUAUCGGGAGGAACACCGGUGGCGAAGGCGGUUCUCUGGGCCUUACCUGACGCUGAGGAGCGAAAGCGUGGGGAGCGAACAGG